AAAGAGAAUCUAUAUAGCCGACCCAAAAUUCUUGGGAUAAAAACUUAGUCGAAUUUGAGUUGAGAUUGUAAAGAUAUCAGCACAUACUAGCAAUAGGUAAUCCAAUAAAAGAUGUAACAACCUAAAAAGCCAUAGUAUGGCAAAAAUAAUAUUGGCAACAGGGAAAAGAGGAAAUCAACAAACAAUUGAUCACCUCGGCAAAGUUGCCUAUUUUCAAAUUCUCAAAUUCUUUGAAUUUGCAAAAUUCUAAUUUGAAAAUCUCAAGUUCACGUCUUACCAGAACCAAAUGUAAUGGACUUUUUGGGAAUGACCGACUUUAUUUUGUAGCCCAAUACCCAGUAAGCCACAAAAUGAACCAACAAAGAAAGAAGAGUAAAAAAAGGAAUUUAGUGAACAUUAAUAUUGUAUUUUUAAUAUAAAAAAAAUUGUAUUUUUAAUAUGCAUAAAGAGGAAUGGAAGUAUAGAACUCAUUUUGAUUGCCCUAUUAACAUAUUAAACUUCCUAGUGUUUUGCUAUAUGAUUAACAGAAGCCCAAACUACUCUUCAACACUUUUUAGUCCAUCAAGGGGGAGGAAUCAUUCACACAGUUCUUGAGUGCAUUGAAAAACUUCAGAACCAAAAAAAGGAUAAAAUGAGUUGAGAAGGGAUUGUUCAUGCAGUCUUUGAUUUGAGUGCAUGAAAACUCCCCUGUCAGAGUAACUAUGACAAAUGCUCCAUUUGGAUGUUAAUCCAUAGCUUAUCAAAAAUGCUUAUUCACCAUUUAGGGGACAAUCUUGGGGGAGAGAAAAGGAACCAUUACCUAUUGGCAUUAUAAGAAAAGUUGUACAGCAUAUAAACCAUGCAAACAGCCAUUCCAAAGCUAUUUGGUGCUCUAGCACAACCAUAUGCAUCAACAACAAAUGCAACUUCCAUAGACAAUUAAAAUUUUACUAAAAUACCAAAAACAGGUUUGGACAUGAGGGGAAAAAAAAAAAAA
rnacentral:misc_RNA from 1 species